GCAAAAGCUGAAUAGUGACCAUUCAUUACUGAAUAACUGGACUGUAAAUCCUUGUCAUGAGAUGGUGACCAUGACUUUUACAUAAAAAGGUGUUAUCCUUCCCAUGUUUACUUAUGCACUUUAUUUAACCAUGCAGAAUUACUGCCCAGCCUCUGGAAAGCAGCUCUUCGGUGAAUCAGACAGCAAUGUUUUCAAGCCAGACGUGUGAAUCGUUCUGCUACCGCAGAGCAGCGAUUCCUGUUGGCAACUAUAGAUCUCAAAAGUGUCUUCUGUAGGAGGGGAGGAUGGUGAAUCUGGCAGGAGUAAGAGACUUCAUCCCUGACAGCACCAAGGCAGGGAGGCCUGCAAAUGAACUACCGGACGAGCUGUGGCCACCUUCGCUCUGAGAUCUCUGCCCUGCUGGGAUGGGAAGACAACUUGCUUUUAGGCAAUGAAAUCAAUCACUUACCAGAAUGAGCAAUUCCUCUGGGUUGUUUUCUAUCCAACUUCGUAAAGUCUCUGUGGAAACAGUUUCAACUUCUGGAAAUGAUUCAUGGACCCACUCGGUGGCUAAGCUCCUCAUUUCUUUGGGAUCGCUUACGUGACCCACUUUUUUCAGAAAUUUUUCUGUCAUUGUCCUUGUGGCUCUAAACAGCUGGAAAGAAAAUGCUAACUAAAAUCUCUUAGUUUAUUUAGCAGAUACUGGGUCACGUGGUACAUUUUUAUAUGAGUAAACAUGGGGCAGAACUUUUACCCUUCUAAUCAGUCACGAGUGGUAGAAGUAAUCAUGUAGUAUUUUUUAUGUUUCUUAAAAAAUAUAUAAUAUCAAAAUCUGCCCCUAUAAUUCGUAACUGUGAAACAAAUGUUUCGCCUAGCCAUGGGGUUGUUGUUUUUUUUUCUUUCCUUACAGAAAAUGUCUCAAAUGUUUGGCAAGCCCAUUUGAAAGCAUACAAGUCAAGUCCAUUAUGUGCAAAGAGAGGCUGUUGAAAUAAAG